GCAGUUCCUGGUACAUGUGUUUUUAUAGCGACCAACCAGGUGAAAUUGAAAGAGUUACAAUCAUCUGUCUUCUGCUUUGAUUGAUGACUAGAUAAUGUGUUGUCAGAUGCUGAAUGUCAUGUUUUUCUUGAGCCUGGUUGGCCAAUAAGUUUAACUGGGGUUGGCUAAGAUAAUCCUGCCAAAAGAUGUCAAACCAGUAGAUGGUUCAUGUAAGACAGUUAAAAAUAUUGUUUUGGGAAUCUUGUAGGUACUGUACAUCUACAGAUAGGAGGGCUUACGAGGCAGGGCGCAAUAGUACGUAAGAUUACUUUAAAAAUAUACAUAUGAGGAGGUAUAAUCAUAACUCACUCUCAUCUCAAAUGGAAGAUCAGCUACAGACUCAUCAUCAGAGUUGACUCACAAGACUAAAGAGCUGAUGGAAUGUUUAGCAGGUAUAAAUGCAGUUCUUAGAGGAAGCAGUAGACUAGAAGGACCUGGCAGAGACAGAGAGACAAGAAGCUUUCAGAGGUUUUCACACACAUCUCAAGAUAGCACUGAAACACUGACCUGACAGGUAAAAUGACUUACUUGUUUGGAAAACUUCUAUGAAAAACACUAUUUCAAGUUUUAC
rnacentral:lncRNA from 1 species